rnacentral:sRNA from 1 species
UUCUAAACCUGAUUUAAUGGAAAGCCCGCAAGCGAGGUACGAGUGCGGACUUGGAAUGGUAAGCAGGGCUACAA